UUGCUCAAAUUUGUAUGCAAUGGGAACAG
rnacentral:sRNA from 1 species